rnacentral:misc_RNA from 1 species
CCCUAGCCCCGAUAGUAGCGGCAUCCUCUUGUCUCGCCCCUAAGACGAGACUAGAGAUAUAGCGUCCCGAAGCCUCGGGAGCGGGAAAAUGC